rnacentral:rRNA from 1 species
GCAGGAACGCGAGUCUUCGGACUUCAACUUCUGAUCUCAAAUC